rnacentral:rRNA from 1 species
UGGGGAAUAUUGGACAAUGGGCGCAAGCCUGAUCCAGCCAUGCCGCGUGAGUGAUGAAGGUACUAGGGUUGUAAAGCUCUUUCACCGGUGAAGAUAAUGACGGUAACCGGAGAAGAAGCCCCGGCUAACUUCGUGCCAGCAGCCGCGGUAAUACGAAGGUGGCUAGCGUUGUUCGGAUUUACUGGGCGUAACGCGCACGUAGGCGGACUUUUAAGUCAGGGGUGAAAUCCCGGGGCUCAACCCCGGAACUGCCUUUGAUACUGGAAGUAUUGAGUAUGGUAGAGGUGAGUGUGAUUCCAAGUGUAGAGGUAAAAUUCGUAGAUAUUCGGUGAAACAAAAGUGGCGAAGACGACCCACUGGACAAUUACUGACGCUAAGAUGCGAAAGCGUGGGGAGCAAACAGG